CGAAACCCUAGCACUCAUUAUUCAACGACCUUCUACUUCUAGAGAGUCACUUUUUAUUUAAGACUGUCGAAUUUAAUUUCUGACGCCAGAAUUGGAGACGGAUAGAGAGGGAUGGAUCAUUUUUGGCUGGGAGGGAUCACUUUUCUAUAUGAUCACUCUCAAUUUCUUGGGAAGACAGAGAGAAUUUUUGAGGGGGAGUAGAAGAUGAUGCAGAGACGGAGUCCACC
rnacentral:misc_RNA from 1 species